AAGGGGAUCAGGCAGGGCUGCCCCAUCUCAGGUCAGCUUUACAGUAUAGUCAUUGAGCCUCUGUUGUUUCGGCUCAGGAGCAGGCUGAAGGGUCUGAGUCUACCAGGGUUGGCCCACAAUCCACUCCUACUUGUAGCUGCUUAUGCUGACGAUGUUAGUAUCCAGGGUCAGGAGGAUGCUGGGGAGCUGAAGCAGAGUCUCUCUCUGUAUGAGAAAGCCGCUGCAGCCAGAGUAAACUGGGAAAAAAGUGAGGCCUGUCUGCUAGGUGAGUGGAAGGUGGAGGACACACCCACUUUGCCUGGAAACUUGAGGUGGGGCAGUAGGGGAUUAAAGGUGCUAGGAAUCCAACUAGGGAGUGAGGAAAUGGUAGCGCAGAACUGGGAGGGAGUGCUCGGGAAGGUGCGGGCCAAGUUGUCUAAAUGGAAAUGGCUGCUACCGCAGUUGUCGUAUAGGGGAAGAGUUCUGAUUUUCAACUACCUGGUUGCCUCGUCUCUCUGGCCCAGACUUUACUAACACCACAGCUUGACCUCAUGAAACAGAUACAGCAGAGGCUUGUAGACUUUUUUUGGUCGGGUCACCACUGGGUGUGAGCUGCGGUUCUGUACCUACCUGUGGCAGAGGGAGGGCAGGGCCUCAUGGACAUCAAAUCAAGAAUGGCUGUUUUCAGGCUGCAGGCAGCCCAGCGGCUGCUGUAUGGUGGCUCUGUUGGCUGGGUGUCUGUGGCCCGGCUACUAUUGUGGCGGGCUGGAGGACUUCAACUGGACAAACAGCUUUUCCUCACGGAGCCACAAGUUUUUUUCUGGACUUACACCCUUCUACGCAUCUGUCAUGGAUGCCUGGACGACACUGAACCACAAAAGAUCACCAGGCUAUAAACCUGGGAUGUGGCUGUUUGAAGAGCUGCUCUUUAACAAUGACCUCCUGUGCACCACUUUCUUUUCUUCAGCGACUGUCAGGACUGCUUUUGGCCUGGAGUGGUGAAGUUGGGUCACCUCAUAAAAUCAUCGUUGGAGCGACUGAGUGAGCCGACGGCAUACGGUCCAUCAGGAUGCUGCACAACUUGGUGAGGGAUUUGUGCCACUGGGUGCUUAUGAGCAGGACCGGGGGCUCGUGGACCAGUGGGGUAGUGACCAAGAGUAUGCCUUUUCAUCUCUGUCAGUCCCACAGUGGGUCAGUGGAGGGAGGAGAGUGGCCUGCUACUUACCGUGAGGACCCUAUCCUUAUCGACCUUUGGUGCCUGUUCCAGUAAACAACUCUACUGCAGCUGCAUGAAGGUGCUAAACAUCAGCUCUCUUGAAGAGGUCAGAGAGUCAAAAUGGACAGACACUGGCACCAGUCAGCUGGCCGGUCCUGUAUAAACCUCCUGCUGAAAAACGGAUGGCGGACAUCCAAUGGAGGAUAAUACAUGGAGCACUAGCUACAAACAGAUACAGAGCCCGCAUUGACCUGAGCACUGGGGAGGGCUGUCCUUUUUGUUCAGAAACGGAAACCCUGAUACAUCUAGUCCUGUCCUGCCCAUGACUGGCUGGCUUUUUGCUGCAGGACUGGGUGGGAGGCCUUGGAGAGGUUUUUUCAGCUCCUCUUUUCGUCUUUGGGCAGAAACACUGUCCCACAAACAAAAGGACACACGUUUUAUUGAACCGUAUUUUCGCAAGUGUGAAGCUGGCAAUUUGGAGGAGUCGAAAGAACAGGCUGCUGGGGGUUGUUUGAGAAGGUUGAUGGCUGCACGGUUAAGGGUGGAGCAGUUUUUUUUUUUAAGUUGACACACAAUUUGGAGGGUUUUGUUAGUGUUUGGGCUAUUGGGGAUGUCCUGUGUUCACUGGGUAAGGAUGGUUCCUUGGUGCUUAAGUUGAAGCCCCCCAUCCAACCAGGGUAAAGGGGCCCAUGAACAGCACCCCCAGCAGCAGACCAGAUGCUGCCCCCAGUGAGGAGGACCCCCUGAGGAAAGGCUGGAGUUAAAAAAAACUUUAAAGUAUAAAAUAAAGGAGCUGUACGAUAAGAUGAAUAAAAUGAACAGUUAAAGUAAUAAAAGUACAGACGAUAAUAGAUAAGUACUGAUAAGAACAUAAGAAGGAAUUAAAAGGUUAAUUAAAAGCCUGAUUAAAAAGGUGAGUCUUUAACCUUCCUUUAAAAACAUCAACAGUCUCUGCAGUCCUGAGGUUCUCCAGCAGGCUGUUCCAGAGGCGGGGGCCAUAGUGGCUAAAUGACGCCUCGCCGUGGGUUUUGGUUCUGGCUUGUGGUAUAAUUAAAAGGCCGCUGCCAGAGGACCUCAGGGCGAGGGUCGGUAUGUUAAAAGAAGAUCAGACAAAUAAGAAGGCGCAAGGCCGUUAAGACAUUUAAAAACUAAUAAAAGAACCUUAAAAUUGAUCCUGAAGUGGACGGUGUUACGACCCCCAAAAGGAGUCCAACAUAUUUAAAGAAGGGACACAGGAGAACAAGCAAGGAUCAAACAACAGUUUAUUGUAAAGUUUUAAACUGCUUCUUUUCGCUUCUUCGUUCUGUGAAAGAUGGUUUUCACUGGCAAAUAUUAAAUAGUUUGUUGUCCAGAACAGAAGAACAAGGAUCCCUUUACCACCCGUGCCCCAAAAUCAGGAAAAAAAAAACAAAGUACAAACAAAAGAUGGCCCAGGAGCACCAGCCAAACAAAACAAAAGGACGUGGUCCCCGGACAACUGCUAUACAGUCGUAGGAAUGGUUUCCACGUCCAACUAAAGAAAAAACCCCAACUAAACCCAGCAAAGAAAACACGAAAACAUGACUACUGGUCACCCCUGGGCAAAAUGAACAAAGUGCAAAGAAAAGAACAGAAGGCUAAGCGGCUACCAUGGCGUGUCCAGAGCCAAGCAGCCAAACCUUCAGGGCGAGGAGCACACCAGGUGUGUGACGAGCUCCACAGCUGCAGUGAGGAGGAGAGAAUCAGAGAGAGGCGGCCACGAGGCGAGGCGACCUCAUGGCCUGGGAACAGCCCCUUUUAAAGGGCAGCCACGCUAAUUAAUUAAGUAAAAAAAACUACUUAAUUACUUAACACAAACAUAUCAAAAAAAGAAAUAUCCCAAAAAGAAGAGAAUAUUUAAAGAAAAACUAGACAAAAAAUAAAGGGUAACAAAAUUAUGUGCUCCCAGCACAGACCACCCCCACCCAAAGACACUGAAUAGGAUUGCAGAAGGCCUAAAAAGAAACCCAACACACCCCGCAACCUAUUCAGUGAAGGCAAACUGCAGCUUAAAGGCGCGAAUGCGCAUCAGCAACAACUUAUUCUUGCCCUGGAUAUGCUUAAUGUCUACAUUAAAAAAUUGCAACCUCAAAGACCAGUUCAUAAGGCAACGAUUCUUGUUCUUCAUGCGGUCCAAAAAAACCAGUGGGUUAUGGUCCGUAUAAACCAACGUGGGCACACUGGAAGCAUCUACAUAAACCUCAAAGUGCUCCAGGGCCAGGACCAAGGCUAGUGCUUCCUUCUCAAUGGUUGAGUACCACUUCUGAUGUCUAUUCAACUUCUUUGAAAAGUAAGAAACCAGAUGUUCCACACCAUCAGCUCCAUCUUGCAUCAGGACAGCUCCCACACCAACAUAACACGCAUCAACAGCCAGCUUCAACGGCACAUCAAACCGAGGCGCAGCCAGAACAGGAGCAUUAACCAAUAGCGCUUUAGUUUGCUCAAAGGCAGACUGACACAAACCGGACCAAGAAAAAUCCACUUUGGGACUAAGCAAGUCUGUCAAAGGAGAAAAAAACUGCAGAGAAGUUUUUGCAAAACCCUCUAUAGUAGCCCACCAUUGCAAGAUAGCGACGCAGCUCAGUACGGUUAACAGGAACUGGGACCAAUAAAAUCGCCUCCACCUUAGCCUGAACGGGGCGCACCUGACCUCCUCCUACCCUUUUCCCCAGAUAGGUUACAGUCGCUUUACCAAAUUCACAUUUGGAAAGGUUCACAGUCAGAUUGUCCUCACUCAGACGUCCAAAAACCGCACUCAAAUGCUCAACAUGCUCAGUCCAAGUAGCAGAGCAAACAACCAAAUCGUCCAGGUAAGCCUCACAAAAUGCUAAGCCAGACAAAACCACAUUCAUCAGCCGCUGAAAAGUUGCUGAGGCAUUACACAUCCCAAAAGCCAUCACAGUAUAUUGCAGGAAAUCAUCCGGCGUGACAAAAGCAGAGACCUCCUGGGCACGCUCCGUCAAAGGUACUUACCGGUAACCUUUCAACAGAUCUAAUUUGGACACAAAUCAAGCAGCACCAACAUGAUCCGUACAAUCCUCCAUACGAGGCAGUGGAUAACAGUCAGGCCUCAUCACCCCAUUAACUUUUCUGAAAUCGGUACAAAACCGGUCUUCUCCAUUGGUUUUAAUAGCCAAGAGACACGGAGAACUCCAUGCACUACAGCUCUUUACAGCAAUGCCGUGUUCCACCAUGUACUCCACUUGUUUUUUCAAACGCCGCCGCUUGUCUGGAUUCACCCUGUAAGGAUGUUAUUUAAUAGGUUUAGAAUCACCUACAUCAAUAUCAUGACUGAGCACAUGCGUCUCAGUGGGAACAUCAGCAAACAGUGACCUAUGAGACUGGAUCAAAUUGAUGACAUCAGACUGCUGGGACAAAUCAAGGUGGGACAACAAAAGAGGCAAGUUCUCCAAUGGCACUGAAUUAGAAAACUUUCCCUGCGUCAGAGCCGCCGAAAAAACAUUGCUCUCCACUUCAGUACCGGACAGCUCCUCCUGCAUGUCCGUAAACAAACUGACCCGAGGCUCAGGUGUGUCAGUCUCAACAGGGUCAGACACAGAAGGAUCACAUGAUCCUGAAGGAACACGCUCAACAUACGCUUUUAACAUGCUGAUAUGACACAACCGAGACCUCCACCGUCUGUCAGGCGUGGCAACCAGAUAGUCCCUAUCACCAACUUUCUUCUGAAUAAGGUAAGGUCCACUGUAGCGCGCUUGUAAGCUCGAGCCCGGAACAGGCAGCAAAACCAACACUUUAUCGCCAAGCUUAAACGCUCGAACCUUUGCCUGUUUGUCAAACACAGCUUUCAUCCUAGCUUGUGCAGCUUCAAGAUUUUCCCUUGCUAUCUCCACAGCAUGAUGCAACUUCAGCCUAAAGUUACUGACAUAAUCCAGUAAAUUCUGGUCACACUCAGCACAAAGCCACUUAUCCUUUAACAAUUUCAAAGGCACCCGAACCGUGUGUGAAAAAACCAGUUCUGAUGGGCUUAAACCCCAGCGAUUCCUGCACCACCUCCCGUACUGCAAACAUCUGAAGAUGCACCCCCUCAUCCCAGUCCUUCUCUAACUCCAAACAGUAUUUGCGCAGCGUAGAUUUCAUUGUUUGGUGGAAUCGUUGCAGCGCUCCCUGACUCUCCGGAUGGAAAGCACUAGAAUGGCAGUGCUUAAUACCAAGCUGCUUCAAAACCGGUGCAAAAAUUCUAGACAUAAAGUUAGAUCCCUGAUCAGUUUGCACAACACAAGGCAACCCAAACAGUGAAAAAAAUUUAGUCAAGGCUUUCACUACAACUGGAGUCAUUAUUUUACACACGGGAAAAACUUCAGGAAAACGCGUAGCAGCACACAUCACAGUAACCAAGAAUUUAUUUCCUGAUUUAGUCCAAGGGAGAGGACCAACACAGUCAACCAACACACGUUCAAACGGAUCAUUCACAGCUGGAAUAGGGUACAGUGGAGCUGGCGGGAUUGUUUGAUUUGGUUUGCCAGCCACUUGGCACCAAUGACACGAAUUGCAAUGACGCACCACAUCACGUUUUAAUCCUGGCCAAAAAACACGCCGCAGGAUACGAUCGUAUGUUUUCCGUAUGCCAAGAUGACCUGCCAGCGAAUUAUCAUGACCAAGCUUCAAAAUCUCAGCUCGAUAUGAAGCGGGCACUACAACUUGUGUUACCACACUCCACUCUUCUACAGGAGAAACAUUCAAAGGCGUCCAUUUACGCAUCAACAAUCCAUCCCUGAAAAAAUAACCGGUGGACAUUUCUUCAGACCCCCCCAUUCGCGAUCUCAAUAAACAGCUUAGCCAAGGUUUUAUCUGCUUUUUGAUCAGCAAUUAAUCGUUUUUUCUGGAAAUGGACAACGUGCUCAAAUCAGGUGUAUGCGUUUGACAUUUCUCAGUGCUCUCAUGCAACUCAGACUCUUCACCUGACUCACUCCCACUCAGGAAACUAUCACUCAAAUCAGUGUCAUUCUGACUGUCAGACUGCUCACGUUUAGCUGCCGCCCGUGUGACUGCACACGAAGUGAACACCUCUGGAUAUCUACUUGCCAAUUCAUCAGGACCAGUACACAAAACUGGGACAGACGUAACCUCAGGAGUAGCUAAAAUUCGACCUCCGGCCAAAUCAUUUCCCAUUAUGACAGACACACCAUUUAUGGGAAAACAAGGGCGCGCCUCCACAAUAGCGUCCCCAGACCACAGAUCUGACUGAAUAAAUAUUCGAUGUAAAGGAACUCCUAUCUGCUCCAUGUUAAAUCCACGGACCGGAACCUCAUAUACGUGUAUAUAUAUAUAUAUAUAUAUAUAUAUAUGUUCUGGGAGUGACUGUCAUAGCUGUGGUUUGUGGUCUGGGAUGAGUAAAAGCAGCUGCUGUGAGAAAUAAAUCAUCUCCCUGAGGCCAGCUUAUGGCUGAUGUGUCCUCCUCCAUCUCCAGCAUUAAUUAACCAUCAGUAGAAUAAAUCUGUUCCACCUGGGGUUCAUCUCCAGCUCCUGCUCCACAGAUUCUUUGUUGUUUUUCCUGCGGCUGCAGCGUCCCGGGACACCAAAGAAAUGUUUUAUAGAAUCCAUAAAUGUUCUCCUUCAGCAGGUUUUGGAAAGCCGACGGGAUGAAGUGAGAUGUUGACAGCAGGAAGAAUAUUCCUCGUCAGGACUCCCAGUUUUUGUUAUUAUUUGGAACAAAAAUCUGUGUAUAACAAGAUAAAACUGAAAAUGUACAGUUUUUGACCAUAAAUUAAAAAAUUGUUUCCAUUUUUCUCCAUGGAAGUGAAAUUGGACAGAAUAAAACGCUGGGAACAGAAACACCGACCAACAUGGGUCAGGCUGUAAAAACAGGUCAACAUAUUCUGUUAUCUUCCAGUAACAUGAUUCAAACAUGCAUGGAAGUCGUUGGUAUUCAUGACUUUAUGAAGAACUGAUGGAUGUCGUGAUGCACAGAACGGAUUUGUUUACAUUUUAGCUUUGAGUUCCGACUUAUAAAGACAACGACUGCAGAUUGACCUCCUGUACUGUCAUCAUUUGGAAGUAAUACGAGUUAUAUUCAGAAAACUUUUAAAUGAUUUUAUAAUCCUCUUUUUUGUGUGUUUUUUACAUGUGUUCCUUGUUUGAAUAAAUUACAGAUAACAUCUAGUAAAUAAUCUGCCGGAUGUCAGAACCGAGACCCGCUAACGGAGAGACAUGAGCAGCAGCUGACAGACGACGGGUUCACGUAUUUAUGGAACAGAACAGGUGCAGAGAUCCUGGGAGACCUGGAGGAACCUGGACCAGAUCCAGAACCCAGCAGGGUCAGGAGGACAGGAGAGACUGGUUCUACCAGCAGGAACAGAAGAGAGAGAGACAGAACCAGUCACUGACAGAACCAAUCACUGACAGAACCAAUCACUGACAGAACCAAUCAGUGACAGAACCACUGACAGAACCAGUCACUGACAGAACCAAUCACUGACAGAACCAAUCACUGACAGAACCACAGACAGAAUCACAGACAGAACCAAUCACUGACAGAACCAAUCACAGACAGAACCAAUCACUGACAGAACCAAUCACUGACAGAACCAAUCACAGACAGAACCAAUCACAGACAGAAUCACAGACAGAACCAAUCACUGACAGAACCAAUCACUGACAGAACCAGUCACUGACAGAACCACUGACAGAAUCACUGACAGAACCACAGACAGAACCACAGACAGAACCAUAGACAGAAUCAGUCACUGACAGAACCAAUCACUGACAGAACCAAUCACAGACAGAACCACAGACAGAACCACAGACAGAAUCAAUCACUGACAGAACCACAGACAGAACCACAGACAGAACCACAGACAGAAUCAAUCACUGACAGCAAACAUAGGAACAAACCUCCAGAGGCUGGAGACUGACUCCCUGAGAAUCCAUCAGUGGGACCGACCAGAACUCUGGAGAGAAGAACAGAGCCAUCUCUGAGACAGAUUUCCCACGAAGCAGCUUAGACGGUUUCUGUCCAUACGUGGUCCAGGGAAUAUCUCAUCAGGUCCAUGGUCCAGAGAACAUCUCAUCGGGUCCAGAGAACAUCUCAUCAGGUCCAGAGAACAUCUCAUCAGGUCCAUGGUCCAGAGAACAUCUCAUCGGGUCCAAAGAACAUCUCAUCGGGUCCAUGGUCCAGAGAACAUCUCAUCAGGUCCAGAGAACAUCUCAUCAGGUCCAGAGAACAUCUCAUCAGGUCCAGAGAACAUCUCAUCAGGUCCAGAGAACAUCUCAUCAGGUCCAUGGUCCAGACUCUGUGGGGGGAAUCUUCAUCAAAGACCAAACUGCAUUGUUACAGUUUUGUAGAGUUAAUCUGUAAAUAAUGUUUUUAUGAAAACAGAGAAACUGUAAAAUAACAAAAGUAACUCUUCAGAAAAACAAAAACCAACUUCACUAUAAAAUGUUUAAACUGUGAUGAACAAAGACAGAAUAAAUGAUGUUCCAGUGGUGAAGAGGCAGAUCUGAACUCUACAAACUCUGAGGCAGGACCAGAGAGCCAUCAGAGAGAAUUAUUGAUCAGCUGCUGAUUGAUUAGCUCAUAACAAAGACCAGGACGCUCCACAUCUGAAGCUCCACCAGGCUUUUGUUCCGUCAGAGCUCUGAGUGAAGCAGACAGUCGCCUUUCAGACUCAUUAGCAGCCCUGAUGUGAUGAACUCAUCAAAGGCUGGAGAUGUGAGGAAGCGUUUCCCGCUCUUCCUACCGACAACACUCCCUGUUACCCAGAAUUAUUCAAGAGCGAGAGUUUCAGAGGGAAAGUGUGUCAGGAGCUGCCUCAGAGGACCGAGCAGCAGCUGUGGAGGUCUGGAUGGAGCUCAGCUGAUGUCCACGUCAGAGACACAAACAGCAACAUCAGACACACAACAGGAGAAAACACUCAGGAGAUCAGCACGUCCUGCACAACCACACAAACACCCGCAACAGGAACACCGAGAACACUCUUUUAUUCCUGCUGACACUGAAAACACCUGACCUCAAAGCAGGAACCAUGACCAGAGAUUUUACACCUUUCUGUGUUGGUUUUACUUUUUUUUUUACAUUAAAUUUGUAUAUUUUUGUGUUUUAAAUCUUUUUCUAUGCUGAUUUUACAUCAUUUUUACAUUGAUUUUGCAUCUUUGCAUCCAGGGCCGGCCCAAGCCUUCAGUGGGCCCUAAGCCAAAUUUACCUUGGGGGGG